AUGACGGCUUACGAGAUGGUGAACGAAGCAGCGGUCCAACGGCACCGGGAAUGGGCGCGGGAGGUGCGGAACCGGAGAUGGAAGGCAAGCUCUGGCCGGAUCCAGGGCGAGAACGGCGGAGAUGGCCGGUGGGGCAGGAGGCGCGAGCACAGGGACUUGGCGCAGUGGGGCUCCUCAACGCAGGAAGCAGCGGACGAUGGCGCUGGUCGUCGACGAAAACCCAAACUUGGAAGAAAUGCCGAGAGGGAUAAUAGUGGAGUUUGGGCAGGAAGUAAAUUUUCUCAGACUCGCAAAAAUGAGCUUGAUCCAAGAAAAAUGGAAAUGAACAUGUGGGUGAAGUUUGAAUCGAAC
rnacentral:rRNA from 1 species